GACGAACGCUGGCGGCGUGCUUAACACAUGCAAGUCGAACGGAAAGGCCCUGCUUUUGUGGGGUGCUCGAGUGGCGAACGGGUGAGUAACACGUGAGUAACCUGCCCUUGACUUUGGGAUAACUUCAGGAAACUGGGGCUAAUACCGGAUAGGAGCUCCUGCUGCAUGGUGGGGGUUGGAAAGUUUCGGCGGUUGGGGAUGGACUCGCGGCUUAUCAGCUUGUUGGUGGGGUAGUGGCUUACCAAGGCUUUGACGGGUAGCCGGCCUGAGAGGGUGACCGGCCACAUUGGUACUGAGAUACGGCGCAGACUCCUACGGGAGGCAGCAGUGGGGAAUAUUGCACAAUGGGCGGAAGCCUGAUGCAGCAACGCCGCGUGCGGGAUGACGGCCUUCGGGUUGUAAACCGCUGUCGCCUGUGACGAAGCGUGAGUGACGGUAAUGGGUAAAGAAGCACCGGCUAACUACGUG
rnacentral:rRNA from 1 species